rnacentral:sRNA from 1 species
AUAUCAAAGUGUUGUCAAGCGGAUAAACGGACUGCGUGCUUGCACGCAAGGACGGUUAGACAUUUGACAACCAAGCCAGUAUGAGUAAGUAGGGCAAUAGCCCGGAUUACGAAUGCUGGCGUCAGUUGUGGGAGUGCCAAAGGCACGUAACAACUGACUUGAUAA